UGGGGAAUAUUGGACAAUGGGCGAAAGCCUGAUCCAGCCAUGCCGCGUGUGUGAAGACGGUCUUCGGAUUGUAAAGCACUUUAAGUUGGGAGGAAGGGCAGUAAGCGAAUACCUUGCUGUUUUGACGUUACCGACAGAAUAAGCACCGGCUAACUCUGUGCCAGCAGCCGCGGUAAUACAGAGGGUGCAAGCGUUAAUCGGAAUUACUGGGCGUAAAGCGCGCGUAGGUGGUUCGUUAAGUUGAAUGUGAAAGCCCCGGGCUCAAACUGGGAACUGCAUCCAAAACUGGGGAGCUAGAGUAGGGCAGAGGGUGGUGGAAUUUCCUGUGUAGCGGUGAAAUGCGUAGAUAUAGGAAGGAACACCAGUGGCGAAGGCGACCACCUGGGCUCAUACGGACACUGAGGUGAGAAAGCGUGGGGAGCAAACAGG
rnacentral:rRNA from 1 species